UUUCCAUAUUCCACCUCCUUUUGUAUGUUUAAUUAAAUUGUUACGUAAAUUUGCAAACUACUUUAAGCAAUUUUCGGAAUUAAAUCUGUGAUAAAAUUGUUUUCUAUGCAGUUUAAAGCCAUAUAAAAUUGUUAUCAAUUUACGUACCAUCAUUUGAAAAAGAAAAAGGAUGGGACAAGAGAAUGGGCCGAGCCGCGUGCUGCGAGGGUAUAUUGAAGAAGUCAGUUCUUGAAGGAGAUAAUUUCAUGCGUUAUACCCUGGAGCACACUUUUCCUAUCAGCAACGUUUUGAGGAAUGGCGUCAAAGUCAACCCGAUUCCGAGGAUGGUAGCUUAACACAAGUGUCACUCAAUGAUGUAGCUUCAAUAUGGACGCAGGUGGUUGGUGGCGCAAAGAAAGGUAGAACCUACGGUCUUGGAUCACAAUAUUCUGUAGGUCGUUCUACGAUAUUGUUGUCUGGUGAUGCGAGUUAUUCGCAAGAUCACGAAGAGGUGGAAGCAUUACGAAAAGAAGUUGAAGAGUUGAAGGAGGAA